UGGGGAAUUUUGGACAAUGGGCGAAAGCCUGAUCCAGCAAUGCCGCGUGUGUGAAGAAGGCCUUCGGGUUGUAAAGCACUUUUGUCCGGAAAGAAAUCCUUGGCUCUAAUACAGUCGGGGGAUGACGGUACCGGAAGAAUAAGCACCGGCUAACUACGUGCCAGCAGCCGCGGUAAUACGUAGGGUGCAAGCGUUAAUCGGAAUUACUGGGCGUAAAGCGUGCGCAGGCGGUUUGCUAAGACCGAUGUGAAAUCCCCGGGCUCAACCUGGGAACUGCAUUGGUGACUGGCAGGCUAGAGUAUGGCAGAGGGGGGUAGAAUUCCACGUGUAGCAGUGAAAUGCGUAGAGAUGUGGAGGAAUACCGAUGGCGAAGGCAGCCCCCUGGGCCAAUAUUGACGCUCAUGCACGAAAGCGUGGGGAGCAAACAGGAUUAGAUACCCUGGUAGUCCACGCCCUAAAACGAUGUCAACUAGUUGUUGGGGAUUCAUUUCCUUAGUAACGUAGCUAACGCGUGAAGUUGACCGCCUGGGGAGUACGGUCGCAAGAUUAAAACUCAAAGGAAUUGACGGGGUCAUAGCUGUUUCCU
rnacentral:rRNA from 1 species